rnacentral:rRNA from 1 species
UACGGGGGGAGCAAGCGUUGUUCGGAUUUACUGGGCGUAAAGGGCGCGUAGGCGGUCAGUGCAAGCCAGUUGUGAAUUCUCCGGCCUUACCUCGGAAAGGCCAACUGAGACUGCUCGACUAGAGUGCGGAAGGGGCAACUGGAAUUCUUGGUGUAGCGGUGAAAUGCGUAGAUAUCAGGAGGAACACCUGCGGCGAAGGCGGGUUGCUGGGCCGACACUGACGCUGAGGCGCGAAAGCCAGGGGAGCGAACGGG